rnacentral:tmRNA from 1 species
GGGGGCGAAACGGCUUCGACGGGGAUAACGAAGCGUGGGUGGCAUACCGAGUACCUGCCGGCUCGUAAAAAAGGGCGGGAUCUAAACAUAAUCGCAGAUGAUUAUAAUUACGCUUUAGCCGCCUAGAGGCUAACGUCCUGCCGGAAUUAUCCUGCAAAUCCGGCACGGGCGUCGAUUCGCAGGAUAGCCGAUUCUGAAUACCUGUUUCUUGAUCGGUGAAAUAUUACAGGUUAGUCUUACAAGUAUCCAGCCUGGAGGAGACUUGGACAGACGAUUCCUAAAUUCCAGGAUAUGUAUGUAGAUGCCUAUGUGGAAUGUUUUCGGACGCGGGUUCGACUCCCGCCGCCUCCACCA